rnacentral:lncRNA from 10 species
CACCAUGCCUCAUCCGAGAGAAGUGAGAGUCUCCUGGGAUUGUGCUGUCUUCAUGGUGGCUCUGCCCUGGUUCUGCUCUUCACCCUGUUAGUGGCACAGCAUGGCCAGCAUUUCCUCAGCGUUAGGAGCAGAACGAGAGUGGUCUGUUUCUAGAGUGACCUGAGAGACUCCUUCCUGCCCUUCCCUUUCAUCUCUGAUAUCUUCGGGCCUCCCCUGGCAGCCGAGGGGCCUCCAGCAUGGUUCAGGAGCCUCCCCCGGCAGCCGCGGGACCUCCAGGACCGUUUGGGGGCUUAUUUCAGCUCCCUGGACCUUUCCUGUCUUUUGUAGUUUCUCCUUUUCCUCAUUUCCUUACUUAAGAACGUUGCAUGCAGUUUUGUGAGUCACCUUAGAUUGUUUCUGGCAAUAGGACAGUAGGCAAUAAAUCUAGAACAGUACACUUCCCACAACGCUGUUUUUAAAAACUGUGGCAACACACAACAUAAAAGGUAGCAUUUUGGGGCAUGGAAUUCAGUGGCGUUGAAUGCACCCCAUGCUUUGCAGCCACUGCUGGCCC